rnacentral:rRNA from 1 species
AGAACCUUACCUGGGCUCGAAGCGCAGUGGAAUGAGGUGGAAACAUCUCAGCCCGCAAGGGCCGCCGCGGAGGUGCUGCAUGGCUGUCGUCAGCUCGUGUCGUGAGAUGUUGGGUUAAGUCCCGCAACGAGCGCAACCCUUAUCGUUAGUUGCCAUCGGGUCAAGCCGGGCACUCUAGCGAAACCGCCUCGGAUAACGGGGAGGAAGGUGGGGAUGACGUCAGGUCCUCAUGGCCUUUAUGUCCAGGGCUACACACGUGCUACAAUGCACGGUACAAACCGUCGCAAACCCGUGAGGGGGAGCUAAUCGGAAAAAGCCGUGCUCAGUUCGGAUUGGAGUCUGCAACCCGACUCCAUGAAGCUGGAAUCGCUAGUAAUCGCAGAUCAGAACGCUGCGGUGAAUACGUUCCCGGGCCUUGUCACACCGA